rnacentral:rRNA from 1 species
ACGGGAGGCAGCAGUAAGGAAUAUUGGACAAUGGAGGAAACUCUGAUCCAGCCAUGCCGCGUGAAGGAUGACGGCCCUACGGGUUGUAAACUUCUUUUCUCAGGGAAGAAACCUCUGGAUUUAUCCGGAGCUGACGGUACCUGAGGAAUAAGCACUGGCUAACUCCGUGCUAGCAGCCGCGGUAAUACGGAGGGUGCAAGCGUUAUCCGGAUUCACUGGGUUUAAAGGGUGCGUAGGCGGAAUAGUAAGUCAGAGGUGAAAGCCUCGGGCUCAACCUGGGAAUUGCCUUUGAUACUGUUAAUCUUGAGUACAGUUGAGGUGGGCGGAAUGUGACGUGUAGCCGUGAAAUGCUUAGAUAUGUCACAGAACACCGAUUGCGAAGGCAGCUCACUAAACUGUUACUGACGCUGAGGCACGAAAGCGUGGGGAGCAAAUAGGAUUAGAUACCCUGGUAGUCCACGCCCUAAACUAUGAUCACUCGACAUUUGCGAUAUACUGUAAGUGUCCUAGCGAAAGCGUUAAGUGAUCCACCUGGGGAGUACGUUCGCAAGAA